AUUGAACGCUGGCGGCAGGCCUAACACAUGCAAGUCGAGCGGAUGAAGGGAGCUUGCUCCUGGAUUCAGCGGCGGACGGGUGAGUAAUGCCUAGGAAUCUGCCUGGUAGUGGGGGAUAACGUCCGGAAACGGGCGCUAAUACCGCAUACGUCCUGAGGGAGAAAGUGGGGGAUCUUCGGACCUCACGCUAUCAGAUGAGCCUAGGUCGGAUUAGCUAGUUGGUGGGGUAAAGGCCUACCAAGGCGACGAUCCGUAACUGGUCUGAGAGGAUGAUCAGUCACACUGGAACUGAGACACGGUCCAGACUCCUACGGGAGACAGCAGUGGGGAAUAUUGGACAAAGGGCGAAAGCCUGAUCCAGCCAUGCCGCGUGUGUGAAGAAGGUCUUCGGAUUGUAAAGCACUUUAAGUUGGGAGGAAGGGCAGUAAGUUAAUACCUUGCUGUUUUGACGUUACCAACAGAAUAAGCACCGGCUAACUUCGUG
rnacentral:rRNA from 1 species